GUGGUUGCAAGGGUGAUGCUAUGCAGUUUAUAAGGUGUUCUGAGUGGUUUUUAGCACAUUGCUAUGUGGUUGCUUGGGUGUUCUGGGUGGUUAUACGAUAUUACAUAGUUCCUUGCACGUAUCAUGGCAGUUUCAAGAAAAAAUGUCCAUUGUGUGGUACUAAUGUCACGGACUUGUGUCAGCUUUGGUCGGUUGGAUUGCUCACCUGUCCUUGGAUUUCUCACGAUUCUUCGCUGUGUCGGCUGCUCACCCGCAUUGCUCUGCUCACCUGGGGUGGGGGGGGGGUGGUUAUUCUCACCUCACACCCCUCUCCGCCAGUCAAGCUCAAGAUACAGUUCUUCGCCUCACUGCAGUCUGUGCCGGUUGACUUCUUCAGCUUGUUCAGUGACCAUUUUUGCCUCUUUUGUUAAUAAAAUCUGAACUGUUCCUCUGUA